rnacentral:rRNA from 1 species
GAAUCCCGUCUUUGACACGGACUGCCUGUACAUUAUGGUGUGCUCUCGAAGAGUCGAGUUGUUUGGGAAUGCAGCUCAAAAUGGGUGGUAAAUGCCAUCUAAAGCUAAAUAUUGGCGAGAGACCGAUAGCGAACAAGUACCGUGAGGGAAAGAUGAAAAGAACUUUGGAAAGAGAGUUAAACAGUACGUGAAAUUGCUGAAAGGGAAACGCUUGAAGUCAGUCGCGUUGGCUAGAAGUCAACCUUGCUUUUGCUUUGUGUACUUUCUGGUUGACGGGUCAGCAUCAAUUUUGACCACUGGAUAAAGUCUUUGGGAAUGUGGCAUCUUCGGAUGUGUUAUAGCCCAUUGUCGCAUACGGUGGUUGGGAUUGAGGAACUCAGCACGCCGCAAGGCCGGGUUUCGACCACGUUCGUGCUUAGGAUGCUGGCAUAAUGGCUUUAAUCGACCCGUCUUGAAACACGGACCAAGGAGUCUAACAUGCCUGCGAGUGUUUGGGUGGAAAAACCCAUGCGCGCAAUGAAAGUGAAAGUUGAGAUCCUCUUCAAAGGGGGAGCAUUGACGCCCGGACCAGACCUUUUGUGACGGAUCCGCGGUAGAGCAUGCAUGUUGGGACCCGAAAGAUGGUGAACUAUGCCUGAAUAGGGUGAAGCCAGAGGAAACUCUGGUGGAGGCUCGUAGCGAUUCUGACGUGCAAAUCGAUCGUCAAAUUUGGGUAUAGGGGCGAAAGACUAAUCGAACCAUCUAGUAGCUGGUUCCUGCC